rnacentral:rRNA from 1 species
AGCGAACGCUGGCGGCGUACUUAACACAUGCAAGUCGAACGAGGAUCAUCGGGUUAGCAAUAAUUCGGUGGUCCUAGUGGCGCACGGGUGAGUAACACGUGGGUGACCUGCCCUUGAGCUCGGGGAUACCCCCUCGAAAGGGGGGCGUAAUACCGGAUACGUUCCUCGGUCGAAAGACUGAGGAGGAAAGGUGGCGCAAGCUGCCGCUCUUGGAGGGGCUCGCGGCCUAUCAGCUAGUUGGCGGGGUAACGGCCCACCAAGGCUAUGACGGGUAGCUGGUCUGAGAGGACGACCAGCCACACGGGGACUGAGACACGGCCCCGACUCCUACGGGAGGCAGCAGUGGGGAAUUUUCCGCAAUGGGCGAAAGCCUGACGGAGUGACGCCGCGUGU